UGCAAAGUUGUGUAGUGCGAUCGGUGGAUGCCUUGGCACCAAGAGCCGAUGAAGGACGUUGUGACCUGCGAUAAGCCCUGGGGAGUUGGUGAGCGAGCUGUGAUCCGGGGGUGUCCGAAUGGGGAAACCUGGAAUGUCCGGAGUAGUGUCCGGUGGCCCUGCCCUGAAUGUAUAGGGGUGUGGGUGGUAACGCGGGGAAGUGAAACAUCUUAGUACCCGUAGGAAGAGAAAACAAGUGUGAUUCCGUGAGUAGUGGCGAGCGAAAGCGGAGGAGGCUAAACCGUGUGUGUGUUCAAGCCGGCAGGUGUUGCAUGUGCGGGGUUGUGGGGGCCUUGUGGUUCUGCUGCCGCAGGAUUGGCCAGUGAGAAAUGUUGCGUGAAGGUGAAGCGUCUGGGAAGGCGUACCGGAGUGGGUGAGAGUCCUGUAACUGUAAGCGUGGCACUGGUGUGGGGUUGCCCCGAGUAGCGUGGGACUCGUGGAAUUUCGCGUGAAUCUGGCGGGACCACCCGUCAAGCCNNNNNNNNNNNNNNNNNNNNNNNNNNNNNNNNNNNNNNNNNNNNNNNNNNNNNNNNNNNNNNNNNNNNNNNNCUUUUGAAGAAUGAGCCUGCGAGUUAGUGAUGCGUGGCGAGGUUAACCCGUGGUGGGGGAGUCGUAGCGAAAGCGAGUCCGAUAAGGGCGUGAGUCGCGUGUUCUAGACCCGAAGCGGUGUGAUCUAUCCAUGGCCAGGAUGAAGCGUCGGUAAGACGUCGUGGAGGUCCGAACCCACUUCAGUUGAAAAUGGAGGGGAUGAGUUGUGGAUAGGGGUGAAAGGCCAAUCAAACACCGUGAUAGCUGGUUCUCCCCGAAAUGCAUUUAGGUGCAGCGUUGCGUGGUUCUUGUUGGAGGUAGAGCACUGGAUGGUCUAGGGGGCUUAUCGGCUUACCGAAAUCAGCCAAACUCCGAAUGCUGGCAAGUGUAGCGUGGCAGUGAGACGGCGGGGGAUAAGCUUCGUCGUCGAGAGGGAAACAGCCCAGAUCAUCAGCUAAGGCCCCUAAGUGGUGACUCAGUGGGAAAGGAUGUGGAGUUGCGUAGACAACCAGGAGGUUGGCUUGGAAGCAGCCAUCCUUGAAAGAGUGCGUAAUAGCUCACUGGUCAAGUGAUUCCGCGCCGAUAAUGUAGCGGGGCUUAAGUUAUCCGCCGAAGCUGUGGCAACCUGUGUGGUUGGGUAGGGGAGCGUCGUGUCAGUGGUGAAGCUGCCGGGUGACUGUGUGGUGGAGUUGAUGCGAGUGAGAAUGCAGGCAUGAGUAGCGUGUGACGGGUGGGAAUCCCGUCCGCCGAUUAUCCAAGGGUUCCAGGGUCAAGUUUGUCUGCCCUGGGUGAGUCGGGUCCUAAGGCGAGGCCGACAGGCGUAGUCGAUGGGUAACCAGUUGAUAUUCUGGUACCGGCUUGUCACCGUCCGUGUCGAGGUGUGUGAUGCUAAGCAUGUGAGCUUGUCUUGGGAGUGUUUUUGAUGCUUCUGGGGUGGGUGAGUGUGUGAACCGAUCAUGUAGUAGGCAAGCUGCGGAGGGACGCAGUGAGGUAGCUCAUCCCCGGUGAUGGUUGUCCGGGGCUAAGUGUGUGGACUGUCUGGUAGGUAAAUCCGCUGGGCGUGAAGGUUGAGGCAUGAUGGGGAGCCCAUGGUUGUGGGUGAGUGAGUGAUCCUGUACUGUCGAGAAAAGCUUCGUGAGCGAGGUGGCGGGUCCGCCCGUACCCUAAACCGACACUGGUGGAUAGGUAGAGUAUACCGAGGCGAUCGAGUGAAUCGUGGUGAAGGAACUCGGCAAAAUGCCCCCGUAACUUUGGGAUAAGGGGGACCUGAGCUGUCGUGCACCCGUGCGGUGUGGUGGCGGUGAGGGGCGCAGAGUCCAGGGGGAAACGACUGUUUACCAAAAACACAGGUCCGUGCGAAGUCGUAAGACGAUGUAUACGGACUGACUCCUGCCCGGUGCUGGAAGGUUAAGGGGAACUGUGAGUGUAUGCGUAGCGGUGAACUUAAGCCCCAGUAAACGGCGGUGGUAACUAUAACCAUCCUAAGGUAGCGAAAUUCCUUGUCGGGUAAGUUCCGACCUGCACGAAUGGAGUAACGAUUUCCCUACUGUCUCCACCAUGAACUCGGUGAAAUUGCAUUACGAGUAAAGAUGCUCGUUACGCGCAGCAGGACGGAAAGACCCCGGGACCUUUACUAUAGUUUGGUAUUGGUGAUUGGGACGGUUUGUGUAGGAUAGGUGGGAGACGUUGAUGCGGCCACGCUAGUGGUGGUGGAGUCGUUGGUGAAAUACCACUCUGAUUGUUCUGGUUAUCUCACUGUGGACCGUGAUCCGGUUCAAGGACAGUGCCUGAUGGGUAGUUUGACUGGGGCGGUCGCCUCCUAAAGGGUAACGGAGGCGCCCAAAGGUUCCCUCAGCCUGGUUGGUAAUCAGGUGGUGAGUGUAAGUGCACAAGGGGGCUUGACUGUGAGACUGACAGGUCGAGCAGGGACGAAAGUCGGGACUAGUGAUCUGACGGUGGCUUGUGGAUGCGCCGUCACUCAACGGAUAAAAGGUACCCCGGGGAUAACAGGCUGAUCUUGCCCGAGCGCUCAUAGCGACGGCAUGGUUUGGCACCUCGAUGUCGGCUCGUCGCAUCCUGGGGCUGGAGUCGGUCCCAAGGGUUGGGCUGUUCGCCCAUUAAAGCGGCACGCGAGCUGGGUUCAGAACGUCGUGAGANNNNNNNNNNNNNNNNNNNNNNNNNNNNNNNNNUCUUGAGAAGGGCUGUCUUUAGUACGAGAGGACCGAGACGGACUGACCUCUGGUGUGCCAGUUGUUCUGCCAAGAGCAUGGCUGGUUGGCUACGUCGGGUUGUGAUAACCGCUGAAAGCAUCUAAGCGGGAAGCACGCUUCAAGAUAAGGGUUCCCACAGGAGUGUUCCUGGUAAGGUCCCCGAGAGAUGAUCGGGUUGAUAGGCCAGACGUGGACGCAUCGUAAGGUGUGGAGCUGACUGGUACUAAUAGACCGAGGACUUUCAUU
rnacentral:rRNA from 1 species